rnacentral:snRNA from 1 species
AUACUUACCUGGCAGGGGAGAUCCCAUGAUCACGAAGGUGGUUUUCCCAGGGCGAGGCUCACCAUUGCACUCCGGAUGUGCUGACACCUGUGAUUUCCCCAAAUGUGGGAAACUCGACUGCAUAAUUUGUGGUAGUGGGGGACUACGUUCGCGCUCUCCCCUU